UACGGAGGAAGCAAGCGUUAUCCGGAAUUACUGGGCGUAAAGAGUUGCGUAGGUGGCAAAGUGUGUCAGUAGUGAAAGAGUGUGGCUCAACCAUAUAAACAUUACUGAAACUGCUUAGCUAGAGGACGAGAGAGGUUAUUGGAAUUCCCAGUGUAGGAGUGAAAUCCGUAGAUAUUGGGAGGAACACCGAUGGCGUAGGCAGAUAACUGGCUCGUUCCUGACACUAAGGCACGAAAGCGUGGGAGCAAACGGG
rnacentral:rRNA from 1 species